CGUCCCCGGUGUCCCCCGGGGAGAAGCGCCAACCCUGCCGUGCCGGCGCGGUUGUUCAAGAAACUUAGCGGUCUGACCGUCCCCGAGACGCUGUGGGAGCCACGCUCCCGGCGCCGGACACUGUCACCGCUGGGACCGAAGCCCCUUCACAGCGGCGGCUCUGGUGACCCGAGGAAGAAUUGACCCGUCAGAGUAAGUGUUCUGGCUGCUAGACCACGUUCCCUUUGGAGAAAGGAACAGAUGGCUGCUGAGAGAAGAUAGACUCCAUGUUCCUGUGUGCAAAUGGAGAGAGGAGGCCACCUUCAACCCCCAGUCUGUACCUGCUAGAAUUUGAUUUUGGAAUAACUCUGGAAGCUUGAAGACUGUACUUUGUAAAUUAAUCUGUUCUGAAAGUCCAGUCUAAUCUACCAAAUGGGGAUUGAAGGAACCUGUUACAGAAAGCUGAAGUUUAAGUCCAAA